rnacentral:rRNA from 1 species
AUUGAACGCUGGCGGCAGGCCUAACACAUGCAAGUCGAGCGGAUGAAGGGAGCUUGCUCCUGGAUUCAGCGGCGGACGGGUGAGUAAUGCCUAGGAAUCUGCCUGGUAGUGGGGGAUAACGUCCGGAAACGGGCGCUAAUACCGCAUACGUCCUGAGGGAGAAAGUGGGGGAUCUUCGGACCUCACGCUAUCAGAUGAGCCUAGGUCGGAUUAGCUAGUUGGUGGGGUAAAGGCCUACCAAGGCGACGAUCCGUAACUGGUCUGAGAGGAUGAUCAGUCACACUGGAACUGAGACACGGUCCAGACGCCUACGGGAGGCAGCAGUGGGGAAUAUUGGACAAGGGCGAAAGCCUGAUCCAGCCAUGCCGCGUGUGUGAAGAAGGUCUUCGGAUUGUAAAGCACUUUAAGUUGGGAGGAAGGGCAGUAAGUUAAUACCUUGCUGUUUUGACGUUACCAACAGAAUAAGCACCGGCUAACUUCGUG